rnacentral:rRNA from 1 species
GUCGAACGGUAACAGGCCGCAAGGUGCUGACGAGUGGCGAACGGGUGAGUAAUGCAUCGGAACGUGCCCAGUCGUGGGGGAUAACGCAGCGAAAGCUGUGCUAAUACCGCAUACGAUCUAUGGAUGAAAGCGGGGGACCGUAAGGCCUCGCGCGAUUGGAGCGGCCGAUGUCAGAUUAGCUAGUUGGUGGGGUAAAGGCCCACCAAGGCGACGAUCUGUAGCUGGUCUGAGAGGACGACCAGCCACACUGGGACUGAGACACGGCCCAGACUCCUACGGGAGGCAGCAGUGGGGAAUUUUGGACAAUGGGCGCAAGCCUGAUCCAGCAAUGCCGCGUGCAGGAAGAAGGCCUUCGGGUUGUAAACUGCUUUUGUACGGAACGAAACGGUCCGGGUUAAUACCCUGGGCUAAUGACGGUACCGUAAGAAUAAGCACCGGCUAACUACGUGCCAGCAGCCGCGGUAAUACGUAGGGUGCAAGCGUUAAUCGGAAUUACUGGGCGUAAAGCGUGCGCAGGCGGUGAUGUAAGACAGGCGUGAAAUCCCCGGGCUCAACCUGGGAAUUGCGCUUGUGACUGCAUCGCUGGAGUGCGGCAGAGGGGGAUGGAAUUCCGCGUGUAGCAGUGAAAUGCGUAGAUAUGCGGAGGAACACCGAUGGCGAAGGCAAUCCCCUGGGCCUGCACUGACGCUCAUGCACGAAAGCGUGGGGAGCAAACAGGAUUAGAUACCCUGGUAGUCCACGCCCUAAACGAUGUCAACUGGUUGUUGGGUCUCUUCUGACUCAGUAACGAAGCUAACGCGUGAAGUUGACCGCCUGGGGAGUACGGCCGCAAGGUUGAACUCAAGGAAUUGACGGGGACCCGCACAGCGGUGGAUGAUGUGGUUUAAUUCGAUGCAACGCGAAAACCUUACCCACCUUUGACAUGUACGGAAUUUGCCAGAGAU